rnacentral:rRNA from 1 species
CCCAAUGUGAGUUAUUUCAAAGUCUUCGGUGCUAAAUGUUGGAUUAGAGAUCCUCAUCACAAUGCUAAAUUUGCAACAAAAGCACAUGAAGGUUUUAUGAUUGGUUACGGAAAGGACUCGCACACCUACAGAGUCUUCAACAACGUUCUUCACAAGGUUGUUGAAACUGUAGAUGUGCCGUUCGAUGAAACUAAUGGCUCACAAAGAGAGCACCUACCCUCUGUGAUAAAUGAACCAGCACCUGAGGAAACUAUCAAGUUCAAGGCUACUGAGGAUGUCAUUCCUACCGAAGAAUCUGCUGAAGAAUUCAUUCCAGAACGUCAAGAACGUCGAGCUAAUGCACCUGAAAAAAAUGUUGAAGAAAAUGGUGCUGAAGAAAAUGCUGAUCAAAUUCCUCGACGACAACCAACUCAUCCUCAUGUUGCAAAAGAAGUGCAAGUUGAAAAGAUCAUCGAUGACAUUGAAGCACCAGGUACUCUCACACGCUCAAAAGCUUCACAUUUAUCUAACUUUUGUGGGCACUAUGCUUUUGUCUCUAUCACAGAGCCCACUAAGGUAGAUGAAGCAUUUCUGGAGCCUGAGUGGAUUCAGGCCAUGCAAGAAGAAUUACAU